UUCAGGCUGUUAGGCAGAAAUAAAAAUAUGUAUAACUCUCAUACCAUUGGAAGUUGAUGUCAUUUCUGCUGUUAGCGCAAGUGAAGCAAUAAAAAUUAAAUUGUUAGUACUAUACUUGCUAGACGGAUUUCCAGUUUCUAUGUCAUCACAUCGACAAUGGAAGUUUCCUGCUGCAGUGGAAAUAGUUUCAAGCUAUAAAAAUUUGACAUAUCUAGGGGAAGUAUUGACCCAAUUUUAUCCGUUACUACCACAAAGACACACAGAGGGAACAGUACCAUCUCCGUAUUUCAAUUAAAUAUCUCAUACACAACGGUAAAUACAGUAUGAAGUUAGCCAAUAGCACUGUGGUCCACAUAUUUGGUAUUACGGAGCUUGAAAAGUUAUGAUCCGGUUUCGACAAUUUUUAGAUGUGAGAUGGCAUAACUUAGGAACAUUAUUUGUAUAAAAUGUAAUUUCUAUAAUGUCAUUGGCUCUUGACUUAUACAAUAUAAAAUAAAAUAAUGAAAUAAAAUUAUCA